rnacentral:rRNA from 1 species
UACGUAGGGGGCAAGCGUUUUCCGGAAUUAUUGGGCGUAAAGGGCACGCAGGUGGUUUCUUAAGUCUGAUGUGAAAGCCCACGGCUCAACCGUGGAGGGUCAUUGGAAACUGAGGAACUUGAGUGCAGGAGAGGAGAGCGGAAUUCCACGUGUAGCGGUGAAAUGCGUAGAUAUGUGGAGGAACACCAGUGGCGAAGGCGGUUCUCUGGCCUGUAACUGACGCUGAGGUGCGAAAUCGUGGGGAGCGGACAGG